UACGUAGGGCGCAAGCGUUGUCCGGAAUUAUUGGGCGUAAAGAGCUCGUAGGCGGCCUGUUGCGUCCGCUGUGAAAUCCCGGGGCUUAACCCCGGGCGUGCAGUGGAUACGGGCAGGCUGGAGGCAGGCAGGGGAGAACGGAAUUCCCGGUGUAGCGGUGAAAUGCGUAGAUAUUGGAAGGAACACCAGUGGCGAAGGCGGCCACCUGGACAAACACUGACACUGAGGCACGAAAGCGUGGGUAGCGAACAGG
rnacentral:rRNA from 1 species